rnacentral:rRNA from 1 species
AGUGAACGCUGGCGGUAGGCCUAACACAUGCGAGUCGAACGGCAGCACAGUAAGAGCUUGCUCUUACGGGUGGCGAGUGGCGGACGGGUGAGGAAUACAUCGGAAUCUACUUUUUCGUGGGGGAUAACGUAGGGAAACUUACGCUAAUACCGCAUACGACCUACGGGUGAAAGCAGGGGAUCUUCGGACCUUGCGCGAUUGAAUGAGCCGAUGUCGGAUUAGCUAGUUGGCGGGGUAAAGGCCCACCAAGGCGACGAUCCGUAGCUGGUCUGAGAGGAUGAUCAGCCACACUUGAACUGAGACACGGUCCAGACUCCUACGGGAGGCAGCAGUGGGGAAUAUUGGACAAUGGGCGCAAGCCUGAUCCAGCCAUACCGCGUGGGUGAAGAAGGCCUUCGGGUUGUAAAGCCCUUUUGUUGGGAAAGAAAAGCAGCAGGUUAAUACCCCGCUGUUCUGACGGUACCCAAAGAAUAAGCGCCGGCUAACUUCGUG